GUCUUUUUGAAUUAUUUUUAAAGUCUGACCUGCCCACUGAAUAAUUUUAAAUGGCCGCAGUAUUCUAACUGUGCAAAGGUAGCAUAAUCAUUAGUCUUUUAAUUGAAGGCUGGUAUGAAUGGUUGAACGAAGUAUAAGCUGUUUCAUAUGAAAUUUUAUUAGAAUUUUAUUUUUUAGUUAAAAAGCUAAAAUUUUAUUAAAAGACGAGAAGACCCUAUAAAUCUUUAUAUUUUAUUAUUUAAAAAUUUUUUUGAUUUGUUUUAUUUUUUGAUUUUAGAAUAUUUUGUUGGGGUGAUAUUAAAAUUUAAAAAACUUUUAAUAGUUAAUAAAUCAUUAAUUUAUGAAUUAUUGAUCCAUUAUUAGUGAUUAUAAGAUUAAGUUACUUUAGGGAUAACAGCGUAAUUUUUUUUGAGAGUUCAUAUCGAUAAAAAAGUUUGCGACCUCGAUGUUGGAUUAAGAUAUAUUUUUAGGUGUAGCUGCUUAAAUAUUGAGUCUGUUCGACUUUUAAAUUCUUACAU
rnacentral:rRNA from 1 species